rnacentral:rRNA from 1 species
GACGAACGCUGGCGGCGUGCCUAAUACAUGCAAGUUGAGCGCUGAAGGUUGGUACUUGUACCAACUGGAUGAGCAGCGAACGGGUGAGUAACGCGUGGGGAAUCUGCCUUUGAGCGGGGGACAACAUUUGGAAACGAAUGCUAAUACCGCAUAAAAACUUUAAACACAAGUUUUAAGUUUGAAAGAUGCAAUUGCAUCACUCAAAGAUGAUCCCGCGUUGUAUUAGCUAGUUGGUGAGGUAAAGGCUCACCAAGGCGAUGAUACAUAGCCGACCUGAGAGGGUGAUCGGCCACAGUGGGACUGAGACACGGCCCAAACUCCUACGGGAGGCAGCAGUAGGGAAUCUUCGGCAAUGGACGAAAGUCUGAACGAGCAACGCCGCGUGAGUGAAGAAGGUUUUCGGAUCGUAAAACUCUGUUGGUAGAGAAGAACGUUGGUGAGAGUGGAAAGCUCAUCAAGUGACGGUAACUACACAGAAAGGGACGGCUAACUACGUG